GACGAACGCUGGCGGCGUGCUUAACACAUGCAAGUCGAACGAAGUGGCGAACGGGUUAGUAAUACGUGGGUAACCUGCUCGCCUUUUUGGGCUAAGCCUAGGAGACGGGGACUAAUACUAAAUAAAUGGGGAUGGGGUCGGUGCCUAUCAGCUUGGUGGUGGGGUUAUGGCCUACGAAGGCGGUGACGGGUAGCCGGCCUGAGAGGGUGCCCUGCCACAUUGGGACUGUGAUACGGCCCAUGCUACUACGGGGGGCAGCAGUGGGGGCUAUUGCACAAUGGGCGAAGGCCUCAUGCCGCGACGCCGCGUGGGGUCUGAAGGCUUUCGGGUUGUAAACCUCUUUCGCUAUCGAACGGGUAGGUGGAGAAGAAGCGCCGGCUAACUACGUGCCAGCCGCCGCGGUAAUUC
rnacentral:rRNA from 1 species